UUUCUUUUUUAAUUUUUUACUUUUUUACGUUUUUCACCGAUAAUUAAAUCCGAUGAAACAUUCGGAUUUAGUCGUAAUUUCAACUUCCGUUAUCGUGCGAACUAUUGUUUUAAUGGUGUUUCAAAAUGGAAAUGUAUGUUCGAAGAAAGAAGCAACAAAGUAAGUUUCUUUGUUGAUAUUAACAAGCACAGAAUGAUUGUGCGACCCGAGGAAGAUAUAGUUUGACCUGUGAACAUUUUUCUCUAACAUGAAAUUCAUGGUAGGAGAAUAACUUUUAUCGUAAAUUUUAUUUCUCUUUUCAUUAAACUAUGCCAGGUCAAGGUUAAUUUAUAUUUUUACGUUUACCAUUUAACGUUCUUUCUUCCUCAAUGGUUAGUUUCUAACUGAUCGUUCAUCAUGAAGGAAGUCGGGCUCAGUAGAGUCAAUAAGGAACUCAUAAGCAUGGAAGAAGGACUAGUCGGGAAUGGGAAAACUUCAUGCAUGAAGUAUAUUAAAAUGAAUAAUAGUUUAAAACGAAUAAUAGAAUGCGUAAAAUUAAUUCUCUUAUUGGAAAUGUUGCUUUGCAUUGGAUGGGGUUGUUACACAAUGUGGCAAAAUUGUCACAUCGAAUCGAUGGAAGUCAAGGCCAUAAAUAAUAUUCCAGAAUCGAAAAAUCUGUUUACUUCUAAGUGUGAUAAAUGUAUAAUAAACGCGGUUGAACAGCUCAAUAAAUCGAACGAUAUUUUAACGAAAAAUAUGUUAAAACCGACGGAGAUUUCAAACAUCGAUAACGAAACCGAUGCGAAUAUCAAUGGAGCGGAAGAUAAUUUGCAAAACGUGGAAGAUGACUUAUUAUUGGUAAUAAAUAACGAUAAGAAGAGCGCAUUAGAAGAUGCUAAAUAUUUCGUCGAUUUUCCGAUCGAAAAUGAUAAUUUAAAUUCAACGGAAAAGGAAUUUAAAGAAAAUUUAAAAAUCGACGAAUCGACAAAAUAUGAUAAAGAUUCAUCGGAUACGUGGACGAACGAAUCGUCGGAAAGAAGCGAGAAAGAAAUGCGACAAAAUGUACAAAGGAAUUUAGAAAAUUAUUCGAUUUUCUUGUUGAUCUUGGAAAAUUCUAUGAGAAAUACACCAGUCUCGGACAGUUCUACUACCGAGGACAAUUACAAUUUGGAAGAUUUUAAGGUAUCCAAUGAAUGGUUAAACAAAGAAUUUACAGACGAAAAUAGAAAAGUUUUUACAUCGGAAUCACACAUGGAUGUUGAUAAUACGGGAGAAAAGUCGGAAGAAAAGAUAAUUUCUAUGGAAAAUCCUAUCAAUAACGAAGAUGUAAAUCAAAACGAAAUGAACGAUGAAUGGAAUCAACGACAAAUAAUUUCUGAAAUAAUGGAAAACGACUAUAAUGAUAUGAACGUAGCGUUUAACGAGAAAAAAAAUAUUUCGGAUAAUAUAAAUAUUUCAGAUUUAUCCAAUUAUUCGCCUUAUAUAUAUUAUCCGGAUUAUUUAUAUGAUACAUAUUAAAUUAUAAAUAUGUAAAAAAGAUUUCCGAAAUUCAAACAUUCCACUGUAAAAAAGAUAGAUGAUUUUGAUUGACAACAUCUAGGAAUAUUCUUGUUACGUCUGUAUAAAUAAAAACCAUACAUCUGGACGAAGAAAAGAAGAGAAAUACGACUAUUAAACAUCGUACUUGGUGUAUGUAAAUACGAAAAGAUGAAUUUAUAUAUAAAUAUAUAAGUUUAAAAUUAUCGAGAAUACGUAAACGUGAGCAAUAAAUAUGAAAUGAAGAAAGAAUAACUUGUAUGGUCAUUAUCAUUGUAUGUAUUUACGACUAUAUUGCGAAUAAAAUCUUUUUUUUAUUUGUAACGAAAAAUUAUCUUUCCGAUGAAAAAUUCGUUAAAAAAUUUCCAUAAGAUGCGCGAUACUUUUAUGCCAUAUAUUCUUUUCUAUUAUACGUUAUUAAGAAUUGUUAUAUAUCGUAUUGUAAAAAAUGAUACGAUUGUAAGAAAUCAUUAAUAAAAUAAUAAAACGAUAGGUACAAUUAAAAGAAUAUCAAAAAUUUGAAAAAAGCGAUCAAAUAUUAAUUUAUUUCCGUAUUUUAUAAUUGACGUGUAAUUCAAAUAAUUUAUUAUAUGAACGAUAAAAUAUUGUAAGAAAAAGAAAUAAAUAUUUAUUUCCAAUAGUA